GCGGUAGCUCAGUGGUAGGGCAUCCGCUUGGCAAACAAAAGAUCAUAGGUUCAGUCCCCAGCAUAUCCA
rnacentral:tRNA from 1 species